UCCCUGAUGGUCCAGCGGCCAAGACUCCAUGUUCCCAACGCAUGGAGCCCAGGUUCAAUCCCUGGUCAGGGAA
rnacentral:tRNA from 1 species